rnacentral:pre_miRNA from 2 species
AUUUUAGUACAAUUAUCUCCUAUGCAAUAUUUAGGAUAUACUUACACUAAAA